GUUAUAUGAUUCAAACUGCAUCCUUUCUAGGUCAUUAAUUCUCAAGCAUCGAUCCCUUGUUUCUUAAUUUCAGCUUGCUGGGGUUGUUGCGGUUGAAGUCACAGGAGGGCCAACCAUCGACUUUGUUCCAGGAAGAAUGGAUUGCGCAGAUUCUCCUGAUGAAGGACGCCUUCCUGAUGCAAAUCAAGGUGCCGGACAUUUGAGAGAAAUCUUUUACAGAAUGGGGCUUUCUGACAAGGAUAUUGUCGCGCUUUCAGGAGGCCACACUCUGGUAUAUUUAUCACCAUUUGAUGGGACAUGAAGUCGAGAUGCAGGUGGUUUGAAAUACUUUGCCUCGUCGAUUUGGCGCUCCAGGUCUUCCAGAGUUGAAUGCAUCUCAGCUACAAUAAUCGGGCAAUUAUGGAGGCUGCUCAAGUACUGCUUUAUUUCGGAGUUGAACAAAUCAUCUAUGUUUCUGAAAUGACGCACUGCUAAAUAAAGGUCUAUUCUCCGAAGACUGCGCCUUAUGCUAGUGAGGAAAAUGAUGUGGUUCGUGAGCAAUGGGCUAAGUUUUAUACCAGCAUGUAUUUAUUAUUGAUCUGAGGGCGCUUGAUCGAGUUGGUUUAGAUGUUAUAGAACAAUUUUUUAUGUUGAAAUGUAUGCUUAUGUUGAAAUUGGAACGUACAUAUAUUUAUUUAAAUGUAUAUAUAUGGUACGUGCACUUUGGUUUUGGGAUAUAUAUACAAAACACCAGUUAUUGUUUUUA